UAAGGAGACUGCCGGUGACAAACCGGAGGAAGGUGGGGAUGACGUCAAGUCAUCAUGGCCCUUACGGCCUGGGCUACACACGUGCUACAAUGGUCGGUACAAAGGGUUGCCAAGCCGCGAGGUGGAGCUAAUCCCAUAAACCGAUCGUAGUCCGGAUCGCAGUCUGCAACUCGACUGCGUGAAGUCGGAAUCGCUAGUAAUCGUGAAUCAGAAUGUCACGGUGAAUACGUUCCCGGGCCUU
rnacentral:rRNA from 1 species